AGCAACGUAGUUUAAAGAGUAGAAUUCCUUGGAGUAUACCAGGAGAUACGGGUGCAAUUCCCGUCGUUGCCC
rnacentral:tRNA from 1 species